rnacentral:rRNA from 1 species
GUGGGGAAUAUUGGACAAUGGGCGAAAGCCUGAUCCAGCCAUGCCGCGUGUGUGAAGAAGGUCUUCGGAUUGUAAAGCACUUUAAGUUGGGAGGAAGGGCAGUAAGUUAAUACCUUGCUGUUUUGACGUUACCGACAGAAUAAGCACCGGCUAACUUCGUGCCAGCAGCCGCGGUAAUACGAAGGGUGCAAGCGUUAAUCGGAAUUACUGGGCGUAAAGCGCGCGUAGGUGGUUUUGUAAGUUGGAGGUGAAAUCCCCGGGCUCAACCUGGGAACUGCCUCCAAAACUACUGAGCUAGAGUACGGUAGAGGGUAGUGGAAUUUCCUGUGUAGCGGUGAAAUGCGUAGAUAUAGGAAGGAACACCAGUGGCGAAGGCGACUACCUGGACUGAUACUGACACUGAGGUGCGAAAGCGUGGGGAGCAAACAGGAUUAGAAACCCGUGUAGUCC